CCCAGAGGUUACUUCAUUGGUUAUGCACCACUUCUUAAGAUUUUUCCGCCUUAUGGAGCUGAGGGUUGUAAACCUGUUUGGGAGAAGUCUAGCAUGUAUGAGCUUUUCAUUUCCUUCUGCGUCAAAGGUUUUGCUUUUUUCAGUUUCUUAACAUGUUGUUUAGAUAAGUUGGAUAUUAAUAGAACUAGAGGCAGCCUUGUUGUUAAAGGGUGAUCCUGAAGUGAAACAAGAUUUCUCAUUUCUCUCGUUUCUCAACAUUUUCUGCUGUUAAAACCAAAAAUUACUAGAAAUGUUGAGAUGAAUCAGUGAGAACGUGAGAAAGCAAUGUAGAAGAAUGGGUUACUGAGCACGUCAUGAAGGUGAAGGAACUUAAUCUGUGCAACAGGAAGCACUGAAUCACAAAGUCAUCUUUGUUCAUAUAUCACUUUAGUUUAUUCUGAGGAGAUAAUCUGUGGUCACAAAGUCUGGGACAUUCUGAGCUGACCUGAGACCAUCCUUGCUUGUCCAGUCCAGCUGAUCUGUGUCAUUGAGGUGUGAGACCUGCUAUCUCCUGACCUGUCAGGAUGGCUUCUAAGGAGCCGAAACCAAAAGGCUAACUUUGAAUUUUUGCUGUUGAGAUCCAAGGAAAUGCUGACUUCUGUUACCUAUGGACCACUAUACACAACAAAAAGUCAGGAAACAGCAGUGCUAUCAGUACAAGUGUCAUCAGCAAAUGAGAUCAAGAGGAAACAAAAUGGAAAAGUGCAUACUGUUUUUCAAAGUAGAGACAUAUUGAAUUCAUCUACUUCUGACAUGAGGAAGAUGAAGGACAGUGAGCUCUACAGCAGUGCAAGUCUUUAACAAGCCAUUCUAAGGUGCACAUGAGAUUAUCGUGGGAUUUCAUGGGAGAGCUGACUUCAACCUGCUCCAUGGUUUGAAGGCAAAACAGAGAAUAAGGAUACCAAGCUCAUUCAAUGCUGUUCCUGUAUCUUGUUCAAUAAAACACAGAUGGAAGGAAUUAGUGUGGAUGGCGGAAAAAUCAAUACUUAAUUUGCUGUUGUUGUUGUAUUUAUUAUAAUUAUUAUUAUAAGUAUUAAUGUAAGUACUAGUGGGAAAAACUGAAAACUAGUGGGAAAGUCUGAAAAAAUUCCACAUCUGGGAAUGGCCAUUUCAGGUCCAGUUAUAGUGAGAAAUACAGAUGGUCUCCUCUCUAUCCUCCCCUCUGUCAUGCACUGUCUUGCAAUAAUAUUUUGAAGCUUCAAAUGUGAAGCCAAGCCCCUCUUUAGCCUAGCACUAAAUAAAUAUUGAAGGAAAACAGUCUUAGCACUGAAGUACCUAUAGCCUGUGUACAAAGCAUCCAUCCUACACAUCCUACCAGUAUGACUUUGCAAGAAGCAACACAUUCACUAAAUACUUGCAUUUUACUGGACAGCUUGUAAUUAGUUCAGGCUAACCUUGCGAUGUCACCACGCUGUGAUUCACACAGGUCUCUCAACUCAUUUAGAAACAAGUCCCAUCUAAGAUCAGCUAAAUACAAAAUUAGUUACCUGGCAAAUGUUGGCACCUCAGCUGUUGUACAUGACUUUUUGUUGCAGAUCACUAACAUAUAUGUAGCACCUCUAAGCUCAUUUUCUCAUGCUAAAUCUUACUACUCAUUUCUACUUUGUUCUGUCUUUCUGAGGUUCCAAUGUGUAAAAAUACAGAAUAAUGUAAGAAUUCCUUCUUCUUACUUUCUUUAUGUCCUCCUUAACAUCUCUUUAUUUAUUCUUACCUUUUUUCCAAUGUGUUCUUUCCUUUUCCUGGAGUGCUAAGAAGACCUUGCUCAUAGUAACUCGUGCUAUAUUUAGGUUUCCUGGUCCACGCCCAAAGAGCAAGCUGAUAGAGAGCUUGCUCACUGCUAAGAGCUCUGCAUGUCCACAUUGCUCACUAUAGGAUGCUAACAGUUUGGUCACCUAUGGCCAUAUUUCACGAGGGCAGCCCAACCUUGGUCUGCCAUACAAUGACUCUUCUCAUGUGCAACACUGGCUCUUUUCCUAAAAGGACUUUACAGCUUAUCCGCCAGGUGUAGGGCUCAUAACUGUGUUUCAAAAGAUCAGGUGAGGGAGUAAUACGUUGUAAUACUGGUACUGGGCACAGUGUCUGCUGCAGCAACAGCAAAUAACAAUUUCUGGGCCCUAGAGUGAGUGUCUGCACUACUGAGCUGAGAGCAUGGCACAGGUAAAGUGUAUGCACUUAGAUUUUGCAAAAAGAUGUUCUUUCUUUCCCUCACUGUCUGGUCUGGGCCUGUGUUCUCUUUCCAAAACCUUUCUUCAUGUUGGACUCCCAAGUUCAUCUCAAAGCAGAGGAAGACAGCUGUUCCAGUGUGUCACCAUCCUCAGUGUGAAAAGCUUCCUCCUAAUAUCUAACUUAAACGUCU